UUCAUCUAAUGUAAUAAAUAGACUUCUAUUUCCCGUCAUGUGAUUGCUGCAUCCGCUAUCUAAGUACCAGCAAUCGUCUUUGGUUAUUUCUUCAAUGUUAAAUAUCAUAAACAUUGUCGUUUCAUCACAUUUUUCCUCAGACUCAUCUUCGUGUAAUAGUGCAUUCUCACCCCUGUUGUUUGUAUCUCUUUGUUGACAGAAUCUUGCCAUGUGACCUAAUCUCUGACAGUUAUAACAUCGUAUCUGUCCAUUGAAUCUUCCUCUUCCUCUACCUCGUCCUCUAUUACCGAAUUCAGAUCUGUUUUGUCGUGUUUGGUCAUUAUUAUUAUUACUUUGCACUUGGAAUGCCUGUUCUAUUGGAGAAUCAUCAUAUUGUUUCAAUCUUAACUCGUGUGAUUGAAGGAUACCUAGCAAUUCUUCUGUAGAAAUUGUAGUUAAGUCUUUUGAUUCUUCUAUUGCCACCACUACCAAUUCAUAUUUCCUCGUGAGACUUUGAAGAAUUUUUUCAACACGUUGUUCGGUAAUAUUUUCUUCAUUUAAACGUAAUUGAUUCACUAUAACUGUUGUUCUAUUCAUAUAUUCUUCUAUUGUCUCGUUUUCUUUCAUUCUAAGUGCAUCAAAUUCACAUCUCAGGGUUUGGAGUUUUACCGUUUUUACUCUGUGUUCUCCUCUAUAUGCCUUGUGUAAUACAUCCCAUGCCUCUUUUGAAGUUCUGCACAUUGCAAUUCGUUCUAACACAGUUUCGUUUACCGCUUGAAAGAUUAUGUGCAGUGCUUUCUUGUCUUUCUUGACCUUUUCCUUGUGUGCAUCCCGAUCAUUGCCUGAUGCAUUAUUUGGCAGAUCAUUUGGAAUCUGGGUCUGUAAGCCUCCGUUCGUCGUUGCCAUGACUGAAAUCGAUUAAAUUCUGUGUUUCGGUAUGAGUUGAAUGAUUUGAAGAUUCGGUGAUAUUUGGAUCGUUGUGGCUCUGAUACCACUUUAUUGUAUAUGAUUGUACGCUAGGGUUUGAGAGAAAGUAAUUUGUGUUCUUUGAUUCAGAAUUGGUAAAUGAAAAUAUUCGCUUAUGUUUUACAAAUAUACUAGGCCGGUUAUAAGAAACCGACAUCACCUAUAUCUAAAAAAUAAAUAAACGUAUCUAACAUAUAAUAUAAGAUAUCUAGCUUAUGUUGUUCCUUCUAAUACACUUUGUACCUUUCACAUGAACAUAAAGGUGGUUUUUGCCAAUUUCAUAGUGAAAGGUAUAAAGUGCAGUUUGAGAAUUGGUAAAUGA
rnacentral:lncRNA from 1 species